UCCGUUUUGACAGAGUGCUGAUUGGUGCGUUUACAAACCUUUAGCUAGACACAAAAGUUCUCCAAGUCCCCUACCUGAUUAGCUAGACACAGAGCGCUGACUGGUGCGUUUACAAACCUUUAGCUAGACACAGUGCUGAUUGGUGCGUUUACAAUCUUUUAGCUAGACAGAAAAGUUCUCCAAGUCCCCAUCCGUCCCAGAAGCCCAGCCGGCUUCAUCUCUCACUGGCAUUGGCAGGGCAGCGGGACUUUGCGACACCUAGCCCGGGCACUCCAGCAGCCCAGAGGGAGCUCCUCCCAGACAAUCAAGAGGGAAAGAGGGGAAGCAGAAAGAGACGGAGACCUGCUAUCUUGGCCAACGAUCCCGUGAAGAGGGAACGGCGGUCUACGCAGGGAAUUCAGCUUCCUAUCAAGCCUAGCAGAGUCCUGCUUCUCGCGCCCGCUGCACUGGGUUUGGCGUCUCUGCUGUUCGCUGAGAUCUGCACACUCCAGGAGCCAUAGGGAGGACGCCAGGACAGCCCCGAAGACGAGAAUGCCUCGCUCCUCCUAGGACGGGAGGAAAAUCCCACAAAUCCUGUCUACUCCAAGCAGCCGCGCCCCUCGGGAGACCACCCCAGUUGGAGGGGCCCACUCCAGCCACCGCUACACCGGGACGCGCUCCUCCUCCCCCUGUGCCCGCCCCUUCUCGUGAGGGACCACCAGGAGGCCCCUCGAUUCCCCAGCAAAACACAGGUUUUGGAGCCAGAGUUUCUGAGUUUGAAUGUUUGGUCUGCUACUGACCAACUCUAUGGGCUUGGGCCUGCAAAGAAAACAUCAAAGAAGAAGGUCAAAAACCAAUUACAUUCUAGGAGUGACCUUGAUGACUUAACUCUGUAAUCUGCAGCAACCUCAGAGGAUCAUGGGAUGCAUUAUGCACGUCAUGGAAUGGAUUGUAAUGGUAGGACCAUUACAUAAAUAGGCCUUUUUGUGCUUCCUACUGUAACGUAUGCAUGUAUUGUUUAGCACUGAUGUGUUAUAGUGAUGUUCAUCUCAGAAAUCUACCUUAUGUUAAAAUAGAAUGAGAACUCUUACAUAUUGUACACUCUCAGCCAAAGACCUAGGGUUAUUCCACUGUACUUUUCUCAGUGUGAAUGGCACUCCCAGUGUUUCUGUUGAGUCUGCAUCUCUCCUGUGCCUUCGUCCAGCUCAGGUUACCAUGUCUCCCAUCUGGAAUAUACUACAAUAACCUUAGAUGUGUUUUCCUUGCUAACCUGCCUCCUAAAACCAUGGUCUACUCUGCCAUCAUAAUCAUAUAUUUUUAAAAAUUCAGAUCUAAUUAUAUUACCACCUUGCUUAAAACUGAGCUAUUCUCAUUGCCAGAAGGUGAAAGAUCUCAGUCCUCCCGCUUUACCCUGCAUCAUUUCAUUUUCUUCUUUCUCUGUGUCCAGCCACUGUCUUAGAUGUUUGUUCCUGUAAUCCAUAGCUUUAGUGAGGCAUAAUUAAUAGAUAAUAAACUGAACAAUAUAAGAUGUAUGAUUUGAUAAGUUUUGAAAUAUAUGCAAAUAUGAAAUCAUCACCGUAAUCAAGGAAGUUAAGAUAUUCAUCAUCCACAGAAGUCUCAUUGUGCCACUUUAUGUUCUUUUAUCAGGAAACUGCUGAAUUAUUUUCCAAAGUAUAUGUACCAUUUUCUGUUUCUGCAGCUGUAUAUGACAAUUCCAGUUGCUCUGUGUGUCAUCACAAACACUUAGCAUCAGCAUUUAUUUUAUAUUUUGAGUCAUUCUGAAGGGUGUGUGUUGUGCACAUCAUUAUGUUUUUCAUGUUUGUUACCUGAAUGACUAAUAAUAUUAAGCUUCUUUUUAUGUGUUUAUUUGCCAUCUGUAUAUCUUCUUUGCUGAAUUGUCAUUUCAAACAUUUUGCUAUUAAAAAUCAGGUUUCUUUUUUCUUUUUUCUGUUUCUUUUAAACAUUUCCUGAAAAUUUUCAGUGUAACAUCUAUGAAAUCAAAGGAUGAAGAAGAUCGUGCCCAGAGCUCUCCUUGGGGGUGGAUGACAGAAUGAACAUUUACUCUGGGCUCACUGGAAAAGCUCCAACGUCUUGGAAAUUGAGUGGGUAUAAGGAAUGCACAAAUUAGUUUUCCUGUGACAGCAUGCAGAGCACUUUUCCAAGCCCCGUCACCUGUCCUUAGUUCCUCUGAACUAUACAGAGGAACAAAUCAAUAUAAAUGCAGAAGAGAAAAGAUGAGAUCAGCUGAUUUUGGUGUUGAUAUGGGUAAUAUCUGAUUUACAUUCAGUUUUCAUGUGGGAUCUCUGUGCCUGGCUUGGUUUAAUGAUUCAAAGUGACAAUACAGUCAACUUCUGAGAAAAUGAUCUAUGGAAAAUUGAAAGUUUAAAAUAUUUUCUUCCUCCUAACUUUGAAGAGGACUUGUUUCAUAUCAAAUCUGCCUGUUCAUCUGCCUGUCCGUCCACUCACUGUUUAUCCAUGGAUCUUGGUGUUAGCUUCUGAGGUGGUAAUGAAUUCAAAACCCUUCUGUUCCUACUCUCAUAUUAAAGGUUCAAAAAUCAACCUUGAUUGCAAUGAAGCACUAAGCCCACAACCACAACUCAGGUGAGGGCUGCCUUGAGGGUUGAAUGGGUUAAUUAAAUAAAAUGUGUAUUAUAUAUCUCGAAGAAAGUAGAGGUAUAUCAACUUGCUUGGUAUCUCACAGCUUAGCAAGUUCCAGAGGGGCACUCAAACCCAGGAGAUAAGCUUCCAAGUCAGGGCUAAUGCCAUGACACCCAUGAUUUAUGGGUGGAUUGGUGGCAGGACAAGAUAGAAAGGAACCAGCGGUGGCUCAGGGUUUUGACCUGAGCAACCAGGGAGAGGAGGUGUCGUGUAGACAGAUAGGAAAGACACAAUUCUUUGAACACAUUUGGGACUCAGAUAGUCAAGGCAGCAAGGAUGAAGAUGGUUUGUCUCAUCACCCGUCUUCCAGGUGACUCUGGUGGGCUCCCUCUUUGAAAGGGUGCCUUCUGGGGGCUGACUUUCAGGCUAGCGGUUGGCUUCUUUUGACUGGGGGUCAAGUGGGCCUCCAGACACCCUGAGCUGCAUGGAGAACAGCAAGGGCCUUUUGCUCAUCUGCAGUGUACAGCACUGCCUCUACUUCAUCUUGAUGCUGCUCCUGGUCAGUCUUCUCGGCACGCUGGGGACCUCCUUACUCACAGACCCAAUUCCUGUUAAACAAGUUAAGUGCUGCCAGGUAGGGUGCUCUGGGGUGGACCCUGCAGUUCUAGGGAGUCACUGAAGAAUAGGGAAAUUCCUGCAUUGUCUUUGGAAAGGGGAGGGUUUGGGGGAGCAUUGGGGUGGGCAGAAACAGGCAGGUACAUUUUAAAGGGCUCAGCAGAGUGAAACAAAGCUGAACUCAACCAGAUGUCCUGCAGCGAUUUGCCAGGUAUUCCUUUAGAUCGAGAAGUUUGGCUUUUAAAAUGCAAAUUUUCCUUGGAAGUUUUAAAUCCACCAACCUUAGUAUGAAUUAAUGCAAUCAGGGCACUCCCAGCUGUUACCCACCCAGGGGGAAUGAAGCCAAUGGACAUUCAGCCCCCACUGUAGUGCAGUAGGUGAGAGCAUGGCAGGCUCUGGAGCAGACUGCCAGGAUGCCGAUCCUAGCCUUGCCCUUACUAGUGUGUGUGAUCCCGGAUGAAUAUUUAACUUUUCUGUGGCUCAGUUAAAUGGAUGUAAUAAUAUCUACCUCAAAGAUCAGUUAUGAGGAUUAAAUGAGUUAAUCAAUGUAAAGCACUUAGAACAGUGUUUCGCAUAUGUACGCCUCAUCUUAGUAUUAGCUGCUGUUAUUGUUACUAUUAAUAAACAAUCCUUGAAGAGCAAGAACCGAAUUAUCUGUGCCCCACAAUACCCAGCAUCACUCCAUUACUAUGACAGACCUGCCACAUGUAUUUCUUGGAUGGGUUACUCAAUGGAUCUCUUUGCCACUUCUACAUUUUUCUUCUUCUACUUUGUUUUAUAGCAGAGGAGGGGCAGAAUUUAGGUGGAGUUCAUUGCUCAGCUGGACUGAAAAAGCUGAACUGGAAUAACUUUCAGUGAACAUGGGCAGUGGGUAAACAUUGGGAAUUUGCAGACUUUCAAAUGAGUCCUCUCUCGAGCACACAUCCUCUAAGUUAGUAGCAACACCAUUAACUCUUUGAAGACUAGGAAGGCACAGUCUUAUUGUCUCUGUAUCCUUAGUCCCCAGCACAGGGGUUCGUAGAAGAGGAAUGACUGAAUCUUCAGGUGUCUGUGGGCUGCCAGGAGGACACUUGGCCAAGAACUAUGUCUCAUCUUGCUUUCUGAGACCUCUUCCCCUCUUUUACACUUGUUCCUGUCUUUUGAAUACCAGGAAGCCCAGGUUGCCUUCUGACCUUCAGAGGCCCUCACACCACCUAUUCCGGGGGCUCCAGUACCAUCUUUCCCUGUAAAUGAGGCAGCACAGACUUUGAAUUUAGGCAAACCUGGGUUCAAGUUUCAGCUUCACUGGUAUCUUGCUACACUCAUAACCGUAGACAAUUUUACUUAUUUUUGUUAAGUCUCAGUAUCUUCAUCUGCAAAAUGUGGAUAAUAGUAACUAUCUCAUGGAAUUGUCAUGAGGGAGUUUCUUAAAUGUAGUUAUGUACAGAACUCUUUUAAAGGAACUCCUAAAAUCUCAAUGUUUAUCCAAAUGAGUUUUUCAAUAAUGCUACUUGGAUACAUGCAAAUAUAAUGUUCUAUAAUAUUUAGCUAUAAAUUCAAUGUUUUUAUACAACCUAAACAAAAUUACAAACUAAAUACAAAUAAAACUAUAACAUUAAUAAAAUACAAAUUAACAAUUUUAAUGUAACAGAUAAUGUUUUGCUGAAAUUAAAC
rnacentral:lncRNA from 10 species